rnacentral:misc_RNA from 1 species
GGUGGAGCAGCAUGCCUUAGUGUUCUCACAGAUCAGAAGUUUUUUCAGGGAAGCUUUGAGAAUCUGGAGAAGAUAAGGAAUGCUGGAGUGAAGUGCCCUCUCUUGUGCAAGGAGUUUGUGGUUGAUGCAUGGCAGAUCUACUAUGCCCGAUCGAAAGGUGCCGAUGCCAUUCUUUUGAUUGCUGCUGUUUUGCCUGAUCUCGACAUUAAAUAUAUGACUAAAAUCUGCAAGAUGGUCGGUUUGACCCCCCUUGUUGAGGUUCAUGACGAGAAGGAAAUGGAUCGUAUGCUC